rnacentral:antisense_RNA from 1 species
GCUGCCUCUUAUGUAUUGUAGGCAGUGCCUGAUGGCUGAGAAGAAUCGCGGAGGACUAGAAAAGGUUUGAGUCUGAAAUUAUCUGCCACAGAGAGUUAGAGCUCAGAAAUAAGUUAUUGUGAAACAGUUCAACUUCCAUGUUAACGACAACGACAAUAACAACAACACGCUUAUUAAUUCCUAGCUGGAGCAUCAAGCUUAUGAAGAUUUCCAAGUAAGACUUUAUUGUUGACCCUUGUUGAAGAGAACUCUACUUGGCUUCGUUCCUGGCUUUCCUAAAUUGUUCACAUACAAGAUAAACUACCAUCAUUCAGACUUACAGAAGUGAGAAGACAAGCUGAACCAAAUGUAAAAUGGUAGCAAUUUACAGGUAAUUCUAUAUCUUAAUUUCUCCCACAUUUUUAGGGUAAGAAAUUGUGAUAUAUGGGGGUUAUUUGGAUCACGCGUUUUCUAAGUAAAACUUUGUCGUGAUUAAUUUUAUGUAUUUAUAGUAGUUCUCCCUGUGUCCGUUUAUCCAAGCAACACAAUACAAUUGAAUUCAUAUGCAUUUCAAAAUAGACUCCAUUUGAUUUACCGUGUAAAUACAACCACCAAGGAAUAUAGAGGUAUGACGAUCAGGAGUGAGAAAUAAAAGUAUUUCUGGAUAGAGGAUGAA